rnacentral:rRNA from 1 species
AACGCGAAGAACCUUACCUGGGUUUGACAUGGCCGCAAAACUCGCAGAGAUGUGAGGUCCUUCGGGGGCGGUCACAGGUGGUGCAUGGCUGUCGUCAGCUCGUGUCGUGAGAUGUUAGGGUUAAGUCCCGCAACGAGCGCAACCCUCGUUCGAUGUUGCCAGCGCGUUAUGGCGGGGACUCAUCGAAGACUGCCGGGGUCAACUCGGAGGAAGGUGGGGAUGACGUCAAGUCAUCAUGCCCCUUAUGUCCAGGGCUUCACGCAUGCUACAAUGGCCGGUACAAUGGGCUGCGAUACCGUGAGGUGGAGCGAAUCCCAAAAAGCCGGUCUCAGUUCGGAUCGGGGUCUGCAACUCGACCCCGUGAAGUUCGGAGUC